AGAGUUUGAUCCUGGCUCAGAACGAACGCUGGCGGCGUGCCUAACACAUGCAAGUCGAACGGAGUCAUUUUGAAGUAGCAAUACGGAUGGAUGACUUAGUGGCGCACGGGUGAGUAACACGUAGGUAACCUGCCCUUAAGAGGGGGAAAACCCGCCGAAAGGCGAGCUAAUACCGCAUAAGACCACGAACUGAGAUGUUUGUGGUAAAAGUCCCGAUGCAAAUCGGGACACUUAAGGAUGGGCCUGCGGCCUAUCAGGUAGUUGGUGAGGUAACGGCUCACCAAGCCUAAGACGGGUAGCCGGUCUGAGAGGACGGACGGCCACACUGGAACUGAGACACGGUCCAGACUCCUACGGGAGGCAGCAGUGGGGAAUUUUGCACAAUGGGCGAAAGCCUGAUGCAGCGACGCCGCGUGGAGGAUGAAGGCCUUCGGGUUGUAAACUCCUUUUGUAGGGGAAAAUAAUGAUGGUACCCUGCGAAUAAGCCACGGCUAACUACGUGCCAGCAGCCGCGGUAAUACGUAGGUGGCAAGCGUUGUCCGGAUUUACUGGGCGUAAAGGGCGUGCAGGCGGUUUGUUAAGUCUAGGGUGAAAGCUCCCGGCUCAACUGGGAGAGGUCCUUGGAUACUGGCGAACUUGAGGGAUGCAGAGGAAAGUGGAAUUCCCGGUGUAGUGGUGAUAUGCGUAGAUAUCGGGAGGAACACCAGUGGCGAAGGCGGCUUUCUGGGCAUUUCCUGACGCUGAGACGCGAAAGCGUGGGGAGCGAACCGGAUUAGAUACCCUGGUAGUCC
rnacentral:rRNA from 1 species